CCUACGGGUGGCAGCAGUGAGGAAUAUUGGGCAAUGGGCGUAAGCCUGAACCAGCCAAGUCGCGUGAGUGAUGAAGGUUCUAUGGAUCGUAAACCUCUUGUAUAAGGGAGUAAAGUGUGGGACGUGUCCUGUUUUGUAUGUACCUUAUGAAUGAGGAUGGGCCAACUCCGUGCCAGAAGCAGCGGUAAUAAGGAGGAUGCGAGCGUUAUCCGGAUUGAUUGGGUGGAAAGGGUGCGUAGGCGGCCCAUUAAGUCUGCGGUGAAAGUCUGUGGCUCAACCAUAGAAUUGCCGUUGAAACUGGUAGGCUUGAGUAUUUGUGGGGCAGGCGGAAUGCGUGGUGUAGCGGUGAAAUGCGUAGAUAUCACGCAGAAC
rnacentral:rRNA from 1 species